rnacentral:rRNA from 1 species
AGUAAAUAGAUACCCGGGUAGUCCACGCCGUAAACGAUGGGUACUAGGUGUAGGGGUUUCGAUACCUCUGUGCCGCCGUUAAACACAAAUAAAGUACCCCGCCUGGGGAGUACGGUCGCAAGAUUAAAACUCAAAGGAAUUGACGGGGGCCCGCACAAGCAGCGGAGCAUGUGGUUUAAUUCGAAGCAACGCGAAGAACCUUACCUAGACUUGACAUCUCCUGCAUUACCCUUAAUCGGGGAAGUCCCUUCGGGGACAGGAAGACAGGUGGUGCAUGGUUGUCGUCAGCUCGUGUCGUGAGAUGUUGGGUUAAAGUCCCGCAACGAGCGCAACCCUUAUUGUUAGUUGCUACCAUUUAGUUGAGCACUCUAGCGAGACUGCCCGGGUUAACCGGGAGGAAGGGGGGGAUGACGUCAAAUCAUCAUGCCCCUUAUGUCUAGGGCUACACACGUGCUACAAUGGUGAGUACAAAAAGAUGCGAGACCGUGAGGUGGAGCCAAACUUUUAAAACUCAUCCCAGUUCGGAUUGUAGGCUGAAACUCGCCUACAUGAAGCCGGAGUUGCUAGUAAUC